UGUUCAUGACUUGGUCAGACCAGGGAGGAUGGAGAGAGUCAGCAUUGUGUGGAGACAUUGACGACCGUCUCCUCACUGUUUACUGAGACACUGCCAGCAGAUACAUGUGUCAGAGAGAAGCGUUGGCGCUUCUCAAAAGUUAAAUUCAACGAAAAUAGGACUUGAUUCUCACAGUCUUCGAAUAAGGAAGCUACUUGCAGACCUGCUUGGGGAGUUCCAGUUCAUUUUGUGGUUAACCUGUGGAAUAAGAGAGACUGAGUGUGAAGAAAUGGAGAACAGGAGGAAAGGAGAGAUGAGGACACAGAGGGAAGUCUCUCAUAUGUGUUUGCUGCUUCUGGCUCUGCUCCUACUCAUCACACCUUCCUCAGCUCAAAACACCACCGUCGUCGCCACCACCACCAUCUCCUCUGUCGGCACCACCAACUCUGCAGCACCCAGUUACCUCACACGCCCAGCUGACGUCACAGUGGCUGUGGGAGAACCUGCAGUGUUUCGCUGUGGAGUUCCCGAAGAUUCUCCCAACCUCACCUUCAUCCUUUAUGGGAGCCACGGCAAAUACAACCUCACCUGCCCUCACGGCCAUGUGGAAGAUAUCCCCCAGGCUCUCUAUGGAAGCUGUGAUGUGGGGAAGGGAGAGUCACUGGCCGUGUGGACCCUCAGGGGAACCUCUUUCUCCGACAACGGCACACGAGUCCUUUGUCAGCAGUCGAGGAAUCCUGAUGCACCUGCUGCUGUCCUACGUGUUUAUGACAACGGCACCAGCUACACCACUCUCAUCGGCUGUAGCAUUGGGGGCUUCUUUGGUAUACUGUUGGUGUUUGGUUUGUCUUACACGAUGCUGCGGAGAUCUGAGACCUUGCAGAAGUGCUUCAGGGGAAAAGAAACAGAAGAUGAUAUGACCACAAUAGUAACAAAGGACUGACAGGAGACAGAAAGACUGUAUUUUAGCAAGAGAUGAUGAAAAUGUAGUCAGGGUUCAUCUCCACCGUCUAACCACACAGGAUACAGCAUGAACUGCUUUUAUAAUGAAAUACCUUCGACCAAUCCAAGUGAAGUGAAAGUUGGGUUGAACCCAGGUCUGGAGAUGAUGACUGAGGUCCGAUCUAGUCUUCACUUCCUUUUUCUGCCCUCAGUAAUCGAACGUUGUUCACACAAUCCACCAAAAUGAUUGACCCUUCCCCACUUGUGGGAGGUCAUAAUGUGCACUGCCUUUACAGACACAUGUAAAAUCUGUUGUUGUGAUUACUGUAUGUAGUAAAGCCAGGAUAUGAAGAACAGUCUGUUGUUUAACUAAAUGUUCAUUAGUUUUUCCCACUUGUAAGAAAAACAGUGUGAGUGUUGCUGCCGGUUAAAGUACUGACUGCAGCAGUAAGCGGAAGCAGAGGUUUUGAAAAUGCGGAGUAAGCGGCCACAAAGAGAUUUUCUGCAAACAGUCACCAGUUAAAUGAGGAAUAGGAGAGCAGCUGCUCUCUGUGUUAGUACAUAUGAAUAACGGCUCUAUAACAAACUAAUGGAAGUAAAGAACCCACUGAUGAAGAUCCCAGUGCCUUUAAUACCAGAAACAUCCAAGUUGAUGCAUCUACUGAGAGAAACACCACUGGGUAUCCUCUAUCCUCUACAGUCUCAUGCUGCACUCAUUCUAUCAAUGACACGCCAUUGUCAUGGAACAAAGUGACCUUUAUGUAACCUCACAAACAAUGUUACAGGCAGGUGGUGCUUUAUGCAGACAGACACCAGCAAACACAGCAAAUAUAGUGAGGGCAAAAAAAAUCCUUCACUCUCCAUAUUGUGUAUUACAGAUUUACUGUUGCAAAAAUCUUUUGAACAUUGUCAUAAUUGGAUGUUGUGUGUAGAUUAAUGUCAUCAAAUCCCCUUA